AAAGCCACCACACCCCAAUCCCACCCCCAAACCAAACCAGCCAGCCAAAAACAAGACCACCAAAAGCCUUGGCAGCCUGUAAGCAAUUCCUGUGAGCAGGUCCUGGGUGAAGCGAGGUUUUGGCAGAGAGGUCUCUAAACACAUUGAUCUUUUUACAUACACACUGUGUUGAUAAGAAAAGCAUGCUUAGAUUAAAUUGAAGAUUUAAGUAGUUGAAAGACUGUCAUUUUAAGGGAAAAUGUGCUUUUGUGCUCAUGCGGAAAUAAGUAUACAAACCAUGUGACUGUGACUCACUGCACAUUGCAGCAGUGCUAAAGUGAAAGAAGAUGGGAGGGGUGGUGGGGUGAAUGAUGGGUGACCAGUCUCAAGAAACUCUGAUAUAUCAGGUGAUACAAUCCCAGCCUGCUGAAGACUUGUGGAGAGAAGCAGAGCUGUGAGAAAGAGGCCACAGAGGUGGGCUAACGGUACUGCUGGAGAACUGAGAGGGAGAGGUGGUGGCUGCUGCUCCUGUAACUGCCUCCCCACGUCCUCUGCCCAGGUUAGGGGCUGCCCCACAGGCACCAAGUGCAUCAGCUAGCCUGGCUUCCCAGAGCUGCAGCACAGCCAAACCAGGCAGAGCCCUUUUGCUUCUCUCACCAGCCUAGUGAAUGCUUCGCAGAUACCUAG